CUACCUUCGUUUUCCUAUGAAAUAAUCUCUUAUCGAUUGCAUCCAGGUCGACCCACUGUCGAACGAAAUUCGCAGUCACGCGAUAGCAGUUUGUACUCGAGAGUCGAGUGACGCGCAUCAGUACGCGAUGAAAGUGAGACGAUGCAUCUUUUCCAUUGGGUUGUAACAUAAGAAAUUUCUGAUGAAUUGCGAGGCAAGCCGUACCUUGAAAAUGUGGGGCUAAACACAAACGAAGGUUAGUGUCGCGUCGGUAAUCUCAGAGUGUUUCUAAGUUACAAUGAGCGACGCAGGAGUGUACCGGGGCAGGAAAGCCGAUGCUAAGCGGAUCAACCACGCCGAACUGUCUUUAACAGAUGCAG